rnacentral:rRNA from 1 species
AUGAACGCUGGCGGCGUGCCUAAUACAUGCAAGUCGAGCGAACGGACGAGAAGCUUGCUUCUCUGAUGUUAGCGGCGGACGGGUGAGUAACACGUGGAUAACCUACCUAUAAGACUGGGAUAACUUCGGGAAACCGGAGCUAAUACCGGAUAAUAUUUUGAACCGCAUGGUUCAAAAGUGAAAGACGGCCUUGCUGUCACUUAUAGAUGGAUCCGCGCUGCAUUAGCUAGUUGGUAAGGUAACGGCUUACCAAGGCAACGAUGCAUGGCCGACCUGAGAGGGUGAUCGGCCACACUGGAACUGAGACACGGUCCAGACUCCUACGGGAGGCAGCAGUAGGGAAUCUUCCGCAAUGGGCGAAAGCCUGACGGAGCAACGCCGCGUGAGUGAUGAAGGUCUUCGGAUCGUAAAACUCUGUUAUUAGGGAAGAACAUAUGUGUAAGUAACUGUGCACAUCUUGACGGUACCUAAUCAGAAAGCCACGGCUAACUACGUG